CAGAGCCAACAACUAGAUCAGCCCCACAAGAAGCUACAGAUUAAGUUUGCUUUUCCGUCAACUAUUUUCAUCAUCCUCGUGAUCAAAAGAUUAACUACAACAUAACUAAAACUAUCAUAUCCUUACCUGCUCCUCCUCUCUAAUCUCCUAAUCCUUUUUCCUUUCCUCUUUGCAGGCGCUUCUUCCUGCUCCCACGAUGACCGUUGCUUAUGGGUUUGCUCACUUUGUAAAUAGAUGCCAAGGACCGAAGGCGCGGCCUUUUCCUCAGCCGAUGCUCUUCCUCCUCCUCGUCCACCUCUUCCUCCUUUCCUCUUCCUGAGAUCUGAGCUCUACCCUCCUCUUCCUGCUCUUUCUUCUUCUUCUUC
rnacentral:lncRNA from 1 species